GACGAACGCUGGCGGCGUGCCUAAUACAUGCAAGUUGAGCGAUGAAGAUUGGUGCUUGCACCAAUUUGAAGAGCAGCGAACGGGUGAGUAACGCGUGGGGAAUCUGCCUUUGAGCGGGGGACAACAUUUGGAAACGAAUGCUAAUACCGCAUAACAACUUUAAACAUAAGUUUUAAGUUUGAAAGAUGCAAUUGCAUCACUCAAAGAUGAUCCCGCGUUGUAUUAGCUAGUUGGUGAGGUAAAGGCUCACCAAGGCGAUGAUACAUAGCCGACCUGAGAGGGUGAUCGGCCACAUUGGGACUGAGACACGGCCCAAACUCCUGCGGGAGGCAGCAGUAGGGAAUCUUCGGCAAUGGACGAAAGUCUGACCGAGCAACGCCGCGUGAGUGAAGAAGGUUUUCGGAUCGUAAAACUCUGUUGGUAGAGAAGAACGUUGGUGAGAGUGGAAAGCUCAUCAAGUGACGGUAACUACCCAGAAAGGGACGGCUAACUACGUG
rnacentral:rRNA from 1 species